GUGCACGGCCAAAGCGGAGGGGUAAUACCCGGUCCCAUAUCGAACCCGGAAGUCAAGUCCUCCUGCGUCGUUUACUGUACUGUGGUGCGAGAGCC
rnacentral:rRNA from 1 species